UGGGGAAUAUUGGACAAUGGGGGCAACCCUGAUCCAGCCACGCCGCGUGAGUGAUGAAGGCCUUCGGGUCGUAAAGCUCUGUGGGGAGGGACGAACGUCCGGGUGAAGAAUCCGGGGUGACGGUACCUCCUUAGCAAGCACCGGCUAACUUCGUGCCAGCAGCCGCGGUAAUACGAAGGGUGCAAACGUUGCUCGGAAUCAUUGGGCGUAAAGCGCACGUAGGCGGCCCAGCAAGUUGGAUGUGAAAUCCCUCGGCUCAACCGAGGACGUGCAUCCAAAACUGCUGGGCUUGAGUACUGAAGAGGAUCGCGGAAUUCCCGGUGUAGAGGUGAAAUUCGUAGAUAUCGGGAGGAACACCAGUGGCGAAGGCGGCGAUCUGGGCAGAUACUGACGCUGAGGUGCGAAAGCGUGGGGAGCAAAC
rnacentral:rRNA from 1 species